GUCAGAUGUAUAUCACUAGGAUGUUUCCCACUCACCAGUCAGAAGUUGGGUAUCACUAGGGAUGUUUUCCCACUCACUACAUUCAGAAGUUGUGGUAUCACUAGGGAUGUUUUCCCACUCACACAGUCAGAAGUUUGGUUUCACUAGAGACAGUUUUCAACUCAUCACUACAGCAGAUCAGCACCGACAAUGAAAUCGCCCCCUGAAACACACCCACACCCAGACUCAGACUAACACAACAUUAAGGAUACAAUACUGUCGAGGUCAGUGCAUUGGGCUGGGUUCAUACAAACCUCUCUCUGUCCUCCGUAUUGCUUCCUAAUAGCCUACUGUAGUUCCUAUGGAAAGGAGUGCCUGUCAUGAAAAACAUUUAAAAAAAGAGUUCUCCAUCUUCGUACCUCAGGAAACCCUGUGUGUAUUGUUCUCUCACAGAAAAGAAAGACUGUGCAUAUGCAGCCUACUGAACAAUUCUGUAUCCCAACAGAAUAUUGUCAUGGAUUGCCUACUGUAAUGAUGUUCAGAGACCGAACGUCUCAUAUAGCACCACACAUUCAUUACCAACACUCACUAUCCCCCCAUGCUGAAUGUGAUGCACGGUUCAGGGUUCAGUCAGUGCAGUGGCCAAUCUUGGCAAAACCAAGGAAGGUUCCAUUUGAAGCACCUUACAGGGGUAAACCGAGGAAGGGUCCAUUGAAGCAUCUUACAGGGGUAAACCGAGGAGGGCCCAUUUUGAAGCAUCUUACAGGGGUAAACCGAGGAAGGGUCCAUUUGAAGCAUCUUACAGGGGUAAACCAAGGAAGGGUCCAUUUGAAGCAUCUUACAGGGAGGGUUAAACCAAGGAAGGGACCAUUUGAAGCAUCUUACAGGGGUAAUCCAAGGAAGGGACCAUUUGAAGCAUUUUACAGGGGUAAUCCAAGGAAGGGACCAUUUGAAGCACUGUACAGAGGGAUGUCUGACUACAGCAAAGAAAAUAAACACCAAACCCCUCAACCUUCAAAGUUAUCAUCACUUAAAGGUGCUACAGCCCCAAAACCCCAUUUCUCCGUAACAUGAAGGAGACUCACAAUUGAGCCUUUUACUUUCUGUUUUGGUCCAGCAGCUUCAAACAGCUGGAAAAACUAUAUAUGUUUUAUUAUUGAACAUAUGUUUAGUUACACCCCUCAAACUCAACUCUGAACCUCCCAAAAAAAGCAGUGGAACUGUGUUGGACACCAGGUGGGUGAUAUUAAUGAUCAGUAAGAACAGAAAACCAGCAGGCUCUGGACUUCGUAGGGUCAGAGGUGAAUAKCCCUGCCCUACACUAUUCAGUGCUUGUUUUCUCACAUAAACUGAAAUUGAGCGAACAGUGUAGAAUUGUUUUAAUCAAGAAAUUACAGAGAUUUCUAUAUAUUGGCCACCUGACCCGAUUUCCAAUAGAUAACACAGCCACAAAGUCAAAACAGCUUUCCCAUUUUGACAACAGAUGCCUCUCCAAUGGGAGAAAUCAAUAAGCAAAUAUUACAGCCAGCUAAGUAAUACUGUGAAACACUAUCAUUCCACUAUUACAAUGGCAUUUUUUAAAUCCUGUGUAGCACCUUUAAUCCAAAGUCCCUCCCUACUCAUCUACAACUCAGAGCUGACAUGCUCCUAACAGGAAAGCCGCAUCCCAAAUGGCACCCUAUUCCAUACAUUGGGCCCUGGUCAAAAGUAGUGCACGUAGGGUCAAACGUGUCUUGGGUUAGGGUUAAAGUUAGGGUCAAAGUUGUGCAUUAUGUAGGGGCAACCGAAGAAUGAGCGCUCCCUKCAACAARUAAGCCCAGUAAGAGACAAUAUAGAGAAGGAGAUCCCAAAACUAAGCCCAGUAAGAGACAAUAUAGAGAAGGAGAGAUCCAACAACUAAGGUUAGUAAGAGACAAUAUAGAGAAGGAGAGAUCCAACAAACUAAGGUUAUUAAGAGACAAUAUAGAGAAGGAGAUCCCAAAACUAAGCCCAGUAAGAGACAAAUAGAGAAGGAGAGAUCCAACAACUAGGUUAGUAAGAAACAAUAUAGAGAAGGAAGAUCCAACAACUAAGUUAGUAAGAGACAAUACAGAGAAGGAGAGAUCCAACAACUAAGCUUGUAAGAGACAAUAUAGAGAAGGAGAGAUCCAACAACUAAGCCAGUAAGAGACAAUAUAGAGAAGGAGAGAUCCAACAACUAAGCUUAUUAAGAGACAAUAUAAGAAGGAGAAGAUCCAACAACUAAGCCCAGUAAGAGACAAUAGAGCGCACUUGGAUGAGGAGCACAAUAGCUCCCCUUGGCACCAUGUGAGGUCCGUGUGCCCCAUUCUUGCUCUGGCUCAGUUUUGAAGAGCGAGAGAUACAGUGGGCCAUAGAGAGAGAGAGAGAUAUAGACAGAGCGAUUAAUAUAUAUUUAUCUACCUCACUUGCUUUGGCAAUGUUAACACAUGUUUCCCAUGCCAAUAAAGCCCUUGAAUUGAAUUGAGAGAGAGAGAGAGAGAGAGAGACAGAGCGAUGAAGUGGGCCAUAGACAUGGGCAGUGUGUAGAGGCAUAUCAGUGAUGUAGUGGAAUUAACAAAUCGGUGAGUGAACUCUGACCCUGUUUGUGGUGAGUAAAGUAACGCUGUAUAUAUUUAAAAAUAUUUUUCUGCAAUAGGUGGGUACAUGCUUACGGAAAUACAAAAGGUGUGUAAAGCUGCGAUCACGUGAAUUUACCCCCACUAAACCACUGAGUCAUAUGAUGCCCCACAUAACCACUGAUCUAUGAUGCUCCACUAAACCACUGAGUCAUAUCACAGUUAUUGGUGAACAGUAGUAGCGCUGUGUGUUGAUGAAGUGGGGCACUGGUCCAAAGUAGUGCACUAAUAGGUAAUACACUCUUAGAAAAAAGCAAUCCAAAGGGCUCUCUGCUGUCCCCAUAAGAGAACCCAUUCUGGUCCAGGUAACACCCAUCUGGUUCCAGUAACACCCAGUCUGGUCCAGUAACACCCAAAAGGGUUCUUCUGCUGUCCCCAUAAGAGAACCCAUUCUGUGCCAGGUAAACCCCAUUCUGGUUCAAGGUAACACCCAUUCUGGUUCCAGGUAACACCCAAAGGGUUCUUCUGCGUCCCCAUAGAAGAACCCAUUCUGGUUCCAGGUUAACACCCAUCCUGGUUCCAGGAACACCCAUUCUGGUUCCAGGUAACACACCAUUCUGGUUCCAGGUAAACACCAUUCUGGUUCCAGUAACAACCCAUUUGGUCCAGGUAACACCCAAAGGGUCUUCUGCUGUCCCCAUAGAAGAACCCAUUCUGGUUCCAGGUAACACCCAAAAGGGUUCUUCUGCUGUCCCCAUAAGAGAACCCAUUCUGGUUCCAGGUACACCCAUUCUGGUUCCAGGUAACACCCAAAAGGGUUCUCUGCUUCCCCAUAGAAGAACCCAUCUGGUUCCAGUAACAACCCAUUCUGGUUCCAGGUAAACACCCAUUCUGGUUCCCUUCCUGAUUACACACCAAUUCUGUGUUGCCAGAAUUACAACACCAAAACUGGUUCUUCUCUGCUGUC
ensembl:lncRNA